UGUUCGAGAAUUUAAAAGUCUCAAACUCGGAGGAAAUCCUGUGCAGAUCUUUAAGACUCAUCCACACGCAUCCAAGUGGCUGCCAAAGGUGCUCCCAAGAGACCCCGUGUGACCAACACGAAUAGGAAAAAAGAGGCCAGCGGAGAUGGCAAGGAAGCAGCCUCUGGACAAGGGCACCCUCCCCGAAACCUAGAGGACGCCAACACUCAACCCACAGGCACUGACUCCUGGUGACCCACUCAGGGGAACCAUUCUCUGGGACAGACGCUUGGGUCCCGCCAGUUCCCUGACAGACACACGCCUCUGCCAGCAGGGAACACAAUGCGUACUUUGAUACUUUCAGAUCCUACACAAGUCCCUCUUAGGAAAGCUGAAAGGAGUUUUGCAGCCCCUUCUAGCACGGCUUUGUCUGGCGGCCAAGGUCCUGGGGGUCGGUUGUCUCCUCCCUGACCCCACGUGCGCCCGCCGUGGCCGCUGCGCACUUACCGGACGACCGCGGCUGGUCCUCACGUAGCCACCUUCCUCCGGGGAUGCAACUGCCAAAGAGUCCCCCAGACAGGCUGAGUCCUCCGAGCCUUGUGCGGUCCCCACCGGGUGAACCCAGGAAACGCAAACUUGCCUGGGGCAACAGAGAGGGGCGGGCGCAGGCUUCUCGAAGGGCUCGGGAAAAGUUGCAGCACAAAAGGCCAAUGACUGGGAGAGCGCCGGCGACCGGGCCAGGCUCCUCCCCCAGCUCCGAGCGCUCGGGGCCAGCGCAGCCAGCUGCUCGCAGGGGCGCCCGCCGCGCUCUCCUCCCUGGCCAGGAAUGUGCAGCCCGGCGCGCCCACACGCACCCAGGGGCCCGCCCGAAGCGCACCGGUAGGCAAGGGACCCAAGGACAGGCCGUCUCCCGAACGCCCUGCCGACUUCUUCCAGGAGGUUUUGAGUCACAACAACUUGUUACUUUCUCAGGGACCAAAGGGCAGAAGACUCACAGUGACUCAACACUUCCUUUCUUCCCCUUAAAGACACAGACGCCCUAGGAUGGAGAGUCCCAGAUGCCCGCAGGGACAUAAAGAUGUUGAAGACAAAACCCUGCCUGGAAAGUCAAGCUCCAUUCUAAGUGGACAGGUGGGAAACAGGAGUGUGAAACCUGGAAUACCAGCAGAUGUCAGCGCCCUGCACUGAGUAACACUAGAAGAUCUUGCAAAAGGCUGGAAAGAAUUUCCAUUCUAUCCAAGGACUUGCUUCUUCCCCAUUGGACCAAGGACCCCUCCAUGGUUGUUACCAUACUUCUGAGCUAGCAAUGCCACAAUUUUAUACACAGAGAAAUCCUUGUGAUGAGGUCUAUAUCAGGAAACAUGGGAGGGGUAACUGACAGGGAUGAUACAAUGCAGGACGGAGGCCAAGCCUCCCUAGACAAAAAAAAAAAAAAAAAAAAAAAAAAACCACUCCUUGUUAGCCGGCUGAAAGUUCACUGCAAAGUCUAUCUUUUUGAUAAUGCUAAUGAACACAGAGGAACACUUAGGAAUAGGGACCGGAAUUUCCAUCACGUUAUUUCUAGAGACUCACAGGCCUCAGGUUUGGGCAUUCACACACACCAGAGCACUGAUGGAGUACCACUGUCCUUUGUGAAAGGAGCAGGCAAAAGCACGUUGGCCUGAGGACUGCCAUUUUGACUUCGGACUUCAUUUUACCAGCAGGGUGAAGUAAAGUUCCCAAGCCCUAGGGAAGUUGAGGACUUUCCAAUGGCUGACCAACCUCCUCCUUAAACCAUAGAAAUAGUUGUUCGGCAUCUUUAGUUCUCUAGCAACAUUACAGCUGCUCCUGAGCACAGAAGGAACAAAUUAAUCUGAUUGGUUGGACUGAAUGGCUUGCCCUGUAUAUCAGUUGACAAUGAUGGAACAGUCAAAAACUUCCCUAAUCUUUGAUUUCUGAUUAGUGAAAAUUGUAACUGCAACUUGGCAACAAAUGUUUGUGAAUUUUAUGCUUAUAAGCCCCACUUUUGCCCCAGCUCGGGGCUCUCAGAAGAAAAAAGGCUCCCGAGUCCUUGUCCUGCAGCCCUGAUUGGUCAAUGACCCACUUACGUGACGAUUUAUUAGAAUCUUUGGAACCUGUGAGCAUUGUCUCUCUCUUUCCUCGUGGUGCACAAAGGACUAGGUGUAAACUUUGCUGCCUGCAAAGCACUGGGACUAAGUCAUAUGCAUCGAGGCUUCUAUGCUCAGUCCUACCACCAGGAGAGGAUGACUGCCGUCCAGCACAGACUGAAAAUGAACAUUUAACCCAGUUUUGGGUAUGGGGAGUUUUCCAGAAGAGGGAAGACAUUGGCUGAGUUUCAGAUAACUAGCUGGUAUUACUUUAGGAUUUCUCUGUGCCCUCCCCACUAAUUUAUCAGUUAAAGAAAAUAAAAAACAAUAGAAGUCCUUAUU